rnacentral:rRNA from 1 species
UGGGGAAUAUUGCACAAUGGGCGCAAGCCUGAUGCAGCCAUGCCGCGUGAGUGAAGAAGGCCCUAGGGUUGUAAAGCUCUUUCACCGGUGAAGAUAAUGACGGUAACCGGAGAAGAAGCCCCGGCUAACUUCGUGCCAGCAGCCGCGGUAAUACGAAGGGGGCUAGCGUUGUUCGGAAUUACUGGGCGUAAAGCGCGCGUAGGCGGACUGGUCAGUUGGGGGUGAAAUCCCGGGGCUUAACCCCGGAACUGCCUUCAAUACUGCCAGUCUUGAGUCCGGAAGAGGUGAGUGGAAUUCCGAGUGUAGAGGUGAAAUUCGUAGAUAUUCGGAAGAACACCAGUGGCGAAGGCGGCUCACUGGUCCGGUACUGACGCUGAGGUGCGAAAGCGUGGGGAGCAAACAGGAUUAGAUACCCCCGUAGUCC